rnacentral:ncRNA from 1 species
GGGGGCGGUUCGCCGCCCCCGACGUCGCGAGAAGUCCAUUGAACCUUAUCAUUUAGAGGAAGGAGAAGUCGUAACAAGUCUUCCGUAGGUGAACCUGCGGAAGGAUCAUUG